GAAAUCGUCGCUAAUUAAAACGAAAAGUGAUGAUAUAAUUUAAAUUUUUAUUUAAUUCAACAUUGUUUGCUCAUCAUUUCGUGCGUUAAUCUCCGCUAAUAUGCACAUAAAAUGUUUCGUCAUAAAUUUUCAAAAUCACUUAAUUAUCCUCCCCUCGAAAACACUAGAGCCAUCGGUCACUCGUCAAUUGAAUUCUUCCGAUAAUCGUAUCGUCUUUUAUCUGAAAUGCCGCUGCUGCGGUUGCUGCUGACGAAGUCAAAUCGAACGACUCUGAUAAAACAGAGAAAAAAUUAAUCGACUAUUACAUGAAUUUUGGACAUAACAUGGGAUUACACAUUGAUUUCGUCAUAGCCUAUAACGUUAUCCCGUUUUGCGAACGCGAUAUUUUUUUUCCUCUUCUUUUUGGUGUGAAACGAAUAAAACGUUGCAAGUUUUUUUUUUAUCAAACCGUUAACGACCCACGGUUGGUUCUCCGUGUCCGCAAAACACAAAAUUAAUUUGCGAUAGAAUCUUUCCACCCCUUGGAAAGUACCCACAAUUAAUAUCAAGGGAUGAAAUUUGCAGGUGAUUUCUUUCUCAACGUAUUGAACAAAAUUUCAGGUGAGGACUGAAGAAAAUAAUCGCCCUGGCGCGUAUACACAUAAAUGUUUCCGCGUUAAAAGUUUUGACAAUAAUUCUAUUUCGCUCAAAUAGUCAAUUAACGGAAUACGUAUGUGUGUAUCUAGCAAUGUAUCUGGUGUACACAUGUAGACGCAGAUACAAGACUCCCACGUUUUACGCGGUUGAGUUAGACCGGUCUCUAGGUCAGAUUGGGUAGGUUGGGCUAUACCGAUACACUGGGGUUUAACCGUUAAUGAAAUUAUACUCUAACUUCCCGGACACGGCGAAUCUCACGAGCAAUCGUCAUUUGACAAUGACAUUGCAACCGUUUCAGAGCUCCACACUCUUGCAGGGCAAUUCGCGAUACGCCGCCCGGACGCACCGGCUGCAGCACACAUUACCCAUACGAAUGGCUGCUACGUUUAACUCGAAAAAAUAUCUUAUUUAUAGUUCGUAUCUGUACCGUUUGAACAAUCGUACGUGUAAAAUAUGAUAUACCGCAGGAAUUCGUACGUGCAGGAAACGCGAGUUCCAUUUACCGCGUAUUACCUCAUGGGGCAGAUCGAAGAAAAAAACGGAAUUUUUCGUACGAGCCAAUUAUGAACGUUUGAAAGAUUUCAAGUCAUCGAUUAGCCGGCUGUGAGUCGAGUUGGAAUUGUCAUUUUUCCCGAUGACGCCAUCAGCUGGAUAUUGAAUUUUCAGAAAGUUGAUUAGGUAUUGUUACGAUCGAAAUUUCAACAACAAAUAGAAUUCUACGAUUGUUUUUCGUGGACAAACGAACUGAUAAGGAAUUCUCGCGAAUGUAGUCGUUUCACGAAAAUAUAAUCCUCGCAGGUCUUUUCGGAAACGUAUCACAUAGUUUCUUGUGUCCGAUAAUUAGUUGUGAUCAUUAAUUAAGCGUCAUAUGGUUUUCGUGAAUAAGUUCCGUAAUUAAUGCCGACAUCAAAUCGUCUAUAAUUGCCAAAAAUUUAAUUGAUAGAACAAGGGCACUUUCGAUCUGGAUGGAAAGAAAAGCACAAAAAUGACCUUCGAGAGUUUACUCGAACGGCAACUUCGGACUUCAAACUUACCUCGGAAAGAAGGACAUGUUAUACAAGACACGGACGCGUAGUGCAGCUAUAUAUAAGAAAAAAUAGAAAUACAAGCUCCUCAGAGUGGGUGGACCGAUAUACCUAUACUCGUUGGAACAAAAUUAAGUCAAACUUGAGUCGGUGUCUACGUACGCCGAUUGGCCGUUCCAAGGUCAUCGGUUCUCUGACCGAUCUCCAGAGAUGGCGAAAUAGCGAGAAGACAUUCCAAGCAUACGUGGGAUGAAUUGCAGCACUGAUCCGUUGAUUUUUUGACACUCAUUGUCAGUUCACAUGUAGGUACGUACAAUUUUCAUGGGAACCUGAGCUAACAUUUCAAGGUUAUUCAAGGUGAGUGGGUUACAAGUAUAUCGGAACAAUUAACACCUACACCGCACACAUGUGAAAUAUUUCAAAACACGACUGUUAAAUGACCAGGAAAAUUAAUAUUUCUCGUCUAACUUUUUUAAACUUUUUGUUUCGUCGCUUCAUCGCGAUCAUUCUAUAUAUUGUAUUAUUAGCUACUAGGAUCCGUCGCUUCCGGUCUACAAACCCUGACAUCGUUAAGGGUAUGCAUAGGAUCUGUAAGUUGAUCUCUCUCGAUCUUGCCACGGAAUUGAUUUAUAAUGGUAAUUCGUAUGUAUAAAUUUUCAAUACUUAAUGGUACUUUAAUUUUUUUUCCAAUUUCUCUUCCUUCCAUGACAAAUAUCUGAGACACGUAUUUUACAUACGAAGAAGGAAAUGAACUUGAAAAUCUGCAUAGCACCAACUUGUCUGUUACAAUUAAUGGAAAAAAAUUAAUGUCGCCAAGUUCGACUCGCGUAACGUAGAUGAAAUCAUACCACGUAUAUCAGGUGUGGAAUCCAAAGUUCACGCGCGAUAUUCAUGUGUAUUUUUGAACACACAAACUCGCGUGUACAUGUGUACAUACAACGGACGGCAUGUGUAAAACCCAUGUUCAAUGACAAUGAACGCAUAAUGAAUCCUUGUCAUAUUAUUAGCUGUAAAAAGAACGGCUGAAAAUGCUCAUCGUUCUACGUCCGAUCUGGUCAACAUUGACGAUUGUAGGCAAAAAAUUGCAAAGCGUCGAUUAAAUUAUAUGUAUAUCGGAGUACAAUAUCUAAACCACUCCUAACGUCGAUAUCGAUCUGAUACACAUAAUUUCAGAGAUAAAAAUAAAUUCGUUUGCCUUAAACGGAAUUCAAGUAUGUACAUACAUAACCAUUUACACAUGUGCGGAUUUUAUCGGCGGUUUAGUUACACAGUUCCUUCAAAUUUGUCAUAUUCGCGAGCGAAAGAUAAUUCUUCUCGAAACCAUCGCAAUGACACAUAUGUAUAAUAUUUCGAGUACCUAUAUAAAUUGGACAACGCCUGUUUCGGGUAACUAGAGAUGACCUCGCGGUUCAGACAUGUGUAUUUACAAAACUGAAUUAAUUACAUAAGCCAGGAAGAAUCGAUGAUCAUCUCACGGAUUUAUUCAUCAUGAAAAGCGCAACUACCAUCGGUACGCCUUCUCGAUCUGCCAAUGAAUAAAAUCAUUUUUACCGCACUUCUACGGGACAUCGUUCGCGACCACUUCUCUCGGUACAGUAGAUGUAAGCAUACGUACUUGUUUUUAUUAAAAAAAACUUCAAUCUAACACAUGACACGGUGCGCACCUUUUUUAUCUGUGAACAUGGUGUAUUAUGACCCAGAUAGAUAAACGGCAACCCGCAUGCGGAGACGUGUACUUAGUUUAUGAUAUCUAUAUAUGCAAAAGCUCAAUGCAGCGUGCUUCAUAUGUGAAAUGAUAUCGUUUCAAAUUUUACAGAGAUUAUAUGAAGAUGAAUUCUUGUAUCAAAUUGCUAACCAUUUCUGAUGAUCUUUUUACUGUACAGCUUCGUUGUAAAGAAGUUCACUCGAAUUUUAAAAAAUUCCGCCUGCACUAUAAUUCGUGACGCGGUUUUAGAGGAGGAAAAAAAGU